rnacentral:ncRNA from 1 species
GUGUUUUAUGAAAAGAGGUUAGCACUCCCCUUAACAAGGAUGGAAGAGGCCAUUGGGUCUAACAAAUAAAUAUAGUUGCUACCUACUUUGUGGCAUCUAGCCAGUGUUUU